GAGGGUAUAGCUCAAGUGGUAGAGUGCAUGCUUAGCAUGCAUGAGGUCCUGGGUUCAAUCCCAGUACCUCCU
rnacentral:tRNA from 1 species